CACCUUUAAUCGCUGAAUCUCUAUUGAGAGCGGGGGAACCAUACCUGACAGAGUUGUUUCUGUCUUGGGGUGAAUCUUAUGUUUUUUAUAAGAAGGGAUACUCUCCAUCCCUAAUCCGACAGCUAACCUCGUAAGCGUUGAUUCGAGAGAGG
rnacentral:sRNA from 18 species